GACGAACGCUGGCGGCGUGCUUAACACAUGCAAGUCGAACGAUGAAACCUUAACUUUCUUUCGCUGACUACUGGCGCACACGGGAGUGACACGUGAGCAACGUCCCCAUAACUCUGUAAUAACAGCGCGAAAACGUGGCGAAUAUCGGGGAGGUUCCGAUGACCCGUAUUCUUCGGUAGUGAAGGACUUGCGGUUCUGGAUCGGCGCACGGCCUAUCAGCUUGUUAGUGAGGUAAUGGCGUACCAAGUCGCCGACGGGUAGCCGGCCUGAGAGGGUGAACGGCCACCAUGGGACUGAGACACGGACCAGACUCCUACGGGCGGCAGCAGUGGGGAGUAUUGCGGAGUGGGCGCGAGCCUGAUGCAGCAGCGCCGCGUGCGGGAUGCCGGCCUUCGGGUUGUAAACAUCUUUUUGUAGGGCAGAAGCGCACGUGACGGUACCUGCACAAAAAGCCCCGGCUAACUACGUG
rnacentral:rRNA from 1 species